CAUCUCUCUGGCAGGCCUGGGUGUGGCCCCACCGGAAGGUGACCCAGUGUUGGUGGCUGGAUGGGCCAAGAUCUGCAGGGUCUGGGACUGGACCAGUAGAGAUGGCGUUUCACCAUGUUGCCCAGGCUGGUCGAGAACUCCUGAUCUCAAGUGAUCUGCCUACCUCAGCCUCCCGAGGUGCUGGGAUUACAGGUGUGAGCCACUGAGCCCAGCCAGAGAAGGGGAUUUUGAUCUCAGCCCCAGUGCCCAUGUGUGAUAAAUGAAUGAAAUGACCGACUGAGUGACAGCCUGGAAGCGUCUGGAAGCGAAGGUGCCAGGAUGACGGGGGAUGGAGGUGAGGGUUGAGAGGAGCUGGAAAGCAAAUGGGGGCAGUUUUACACCCCACGUUGUGCAGCUGCAGUAUCCUCGGCAGCCGGUAAUCCACUCUGUGGUCCGGACCCGGCAGCCACACCCCGCAAAAAGUCCACUUGGUGAGAGCUGAAAACGAGCGUUCCAGUCUUUAUUAUGGGGCGAUCAGUCUCUAGCUCCCGGGCCGUGGUCCAUGUCCAGCUUCCGGAGCCGCCGCGGGAAUCGCGAUCCACUAGCCCCGCCGCCCCGCCCAGUCCCGGUCCGGAGGAGGGGCCUCGGUGCGCCCGGCGCAGGCGCAGAUCGGCCCAGCGCGGAGCGGCGCUCAGAGGAAGGGGUUGGUGCCGCUCUGUGGGGGCGGGGGCCUGGGCCCGGCUGAGCUGGGCGUGGGCAGCAGCCGCUGUCCCAGGCCCGCGGGGGGCGGCGCGAAGGCUCCGGCCUGCGGGAAGACGCUGACCGAGGCGGGGAGGGUCACGCCGGCUGGCACGCUGCUGAGCGGGAGGGGCAGAGAGGCGCUGUAGGUCAUGGAGCCCAGUGGCGCCCCCACGGGCCCGCCCGCCAGGCCCAGCGCCGGCGACCCGGUGCGCAUCUGGUUCAGCGUCGGCCUGCCCGGCUCUCCUGUGCCGAACGGGUUGGUAGGGGACGGAGCGCUGAGACCUGCAGAAUGAGAGUGGCUUGGAGCGGCCCGGGGUACCGAUCGCUAUCCUAUACCAGGAGGUCUUGGAAGUGGGGAAGGAGAGGGAGCUCUCCUGCUGAGGCUGGGCUCUGAAAGCAGAGGCCCCUGGGUCAGGGGAACGUCCUACCUGUCAAGAAGGGGUUCCGGGUCUUCACAGCCUGGGGCGCCUUGACCAACGAAUCAAGGUUGACCAAGGAAGAGGCCGACGGGCCCAGGAAGGACUCGGGAGUCCAGCAAGCUCGGGCCUCUUUUCUUGGCUGGGUUAGUGCUUCCCCCAGUACGCCCAGGUCUAGGGCAUCUGGCUCCUUCAUGCCAUUUUGCUUGGAACUGGGGCUGGGGUCUCCAAACAGGUCCAGCUCUGGAAUAGAAAUGCUAGAGCUCAUUGGUGGGGAGAGGGAUUGGCGUCCAACGUGGUAGGAAGAGGAUAGACGCUGCCCGGGGUGGGCCCCUGUUUCUCCAGAGCCGCCCCAUCCCCUUGCUCUGCUCACCCGCAGGGCUGCUGGGCUUCCCAGAAGGCAGGGCCUGCUCCAGACCCUCCUUGGUCUCUGUGGAUUCUGGAGGUUUGGCAAAUGGGUCAAAGGCUGAAGCAUCACCUACAGCUAGCCGAAGAGAGAGAGGGAGAGGAGAUGGGAUGGCAAAAAGGGCAGGUACUGGUCGGACCCCUUUCCAGGGAAGCUGCCCUCAUAACAGAAUCUGCUGCCCUCUUGGCCCUGGAGGGAAGGGGACCUGGAAUGCUCCAGCCCCUCACUCACACCUUCUGGCCCUCUUCUUACCAGGCGUAUCGGAGGUCUCCAUGGAGGCCCCCCAAGGGUCAGCCCCAGUGCUGGGGAGUUUGUGAUGGGGAGAGUUGAGUGCCCAGGGAUCUGUGGUGGGGGGCUCAGCAGGCAGCACUGGGGUCCUGCCCCAGGGCUCAGAGGAGGACAGCUUGGGAGUCAGGUCCCAUGGCUGGCUUCGGGAUAGGAUGGCUCCUGAGGGGAUUGGAGACCAGGGGUCUGCAGAAGGCCCCCAGGAGGAGCCACUGGUCUCUGUGUUCGGCCUAAGACCUGAAAUGGAACAGCACAGACAUGACCCCAAGCCCAUCCUUAGCCCUCACCCAGGGCCCUUCCCAGUUACCCAGCCCGAGCUGGGAGUCAGGGGAUCCAUGUCAUAGAGGGACUGUGGCCUCAGAACCACCCAGCAGGCUGGAGCCCGUAUUUGGUGAGUGACCCCAGAAGCUGGGACCUGCAGGCAUGGGCUACUCAGGCCACCUUCCCAGGCAGGGACAGGCUGAGCAAGUGAGUGCAGUGAGAGAAACUUUGCUGCGUUUCCUAGGAGCUGAGCUCUUCAGACAUGCUCCCCAGCCCGCACUACAAAAGCCUGUCCCACAGGCCUCAGAGGAGCAUGGUGGUGAGUGACUUGCCCUGUGACAGUCAGGUGUUGGGCGGAGGUAGUGCUUUGCCAGCAAGUGUCUGGGAAGGAGAGGGCUUUGGGGCCAGCCUGGAAGUCUCUUGCAGCCCUGCAUGCCCACCUGGGAUGUCCCAUGGGUCAGCAGAGCAGUGUGUGGAGGGCGGGGCCGGGGCAGGUACGAAGAUGUCGGCCAAGUCCAGGAUGGAGGACUGUGGAGGGGAGAGGCAUCCGGGGCUCAGAAGUGGGCGGGGCUCCGAGGGAGGGCAGGCCCUGACCCGUCAGCCUAAUGCCAGCUUAUUCUCUUUAUUCAUUCCACAGAUACCUAGUCACUAUCCCUCUCUUCUGCACAGUGCUUUACACUUUAUAAUGUUUCUUCAUCCACAGAGCACCUGAUUUUCAUAACAACCCUGUGAGCUCUCUGUCCUGCCGAUGGUGGACAGCAGCCCCUGCACCGUUGGCCACGGGGGAGCCAUCACCCCGCCAGGACCUCACCUCCUGCAGAAGGCACAGAAGGAGUCAGGAGGAUUAGCAGCCAAGACUCCCGGGACCUGUGCACCCGAGGAGUCGAGGAGCGAGAGCAGGGUGGGAGGCAGCUGAGAGGUUAGGAGCAGCAGCGCCACCGCGUGCAGUGGGAGGAGCCUGUUAGUGCCCUGAAGCACCUCCACCAGCAGCGGCAGCAGCACCGGAGGCCCUGCGGGCUCGGCCCACUACCUUCUCGUGCUCCUGCCGGCUCAGGCGCAGAGCCAGCUGCAGCUGCAGGUCCUCGUCCCUGUGGGAGGCUGGGGGGACAGGCUGUGGAGGAAGAGAGGGGUGAGCUUGGCCCUGUACCCCCACCCUGGGACCAGAAGGGCAGUAUAGCCCUGCCUGGGUGGUGGGGCUGGAGAGACAGAUGCCCACCCUGAGUGUGCAUGGGCGGUUUGCCCCUCAGCAGGGUGAGUGUGGCCUUUUCCCUGCCUGUAUCUGAAAUGCAGUUUAAAGAUGAAGAAGACUGAUCUUUAGCUUCUGAAUCCUCUGAGAGUUUUCCACUGCCCUCCUGUGUGGGGCCCAGCUGCUUCCUGGCUGGUCUUCCUGGAUCCACAGAGGUCCAGUGGAAAGGACUAGAGGCAGGGAGGCAGUCCCUGCCUGCGACAAACCAAAGGAACUAGUGGGCCUUGUGCUGUCCUUGGGAGCAGGAGUCAGGCUUCAGGUGACAGAUCCUGAGUCAAGGCUGAGGGACACCCAGGUCGGAGGUGCAGCGGGGUGAUGAAGAGGAGGCUGCAACGAUCAUCAUGGCUCUGUGACCACGCCAUUACCCAGCAUCUCCCACACCCCCUGCCUGCCAGGAAGCUGAGGCUCAAGGAAGAGAACUGAGAGGAGGGGAGCAACAGGCCGUGGAGGCCCCCAUGGGCCAGGCAGUGUGCCGGCCACUGUAAGUUCCCCAUCCCUCCCUGGUGGGAUGGCUCCAGUCCCUCCUUGGCAGAUGCACAGGCAGCCACAUGGCACCUGACCAGGGUCCUGAAGCAGGACUUGAGCCCAGGUUUCCUGACUCUAGCUCUUGGACUUCCAGACAGACCCCAUCCUGCUUGAGGGGAAAGGGGAAUGCAAGGAUAGGAGCUUGUAGUCCAACGAGGUCACAGCCUCAAAGCCCUCAGCUAAUUGUCAAGGGCUUUAUGGAAGGAGGGCCAUUCUGAGUACUCAGAUCCAGGAAGCCCCCACCACUGGGGGCAGGAGAGUCAGGGACUAUCUGCAGCUGCCCUCAGGUAGGGGAUAAAGGGGGAUGCCAUGUGUCUGGGCACGGAGUAGAGGGAAUUCCUUUGCCUGGUCUCAUUUCAUUCUCAGAUCAAAUGAUGGAGGUAGGUGACCUUAUCCUCAUUGUACAUAUGAGGGAACUGAGGUUCAGAGAACUGGUUGCCCAGGUCACAUAGCUUGGAGGAAGCAGAAUAAAGAAUGCUAUCUGACUCCAAAGCCGAUGCUUCCACCAUCCCCCAUUCUAUCAGGCAGCUAACAAAUGAUAAUGAAUCAACAUCAUUAUUAUCUGAGCUGACAUGCUGAGCACCUCCCAUGUGCCGGAUGUUGUGCCUUGCAUGUUACAUUCCUCAUGUCUGAAUCCUCGUAACACCCCUCAGAGGUAGGUAUUAUGAACCAUGGCUCGGCUUGCAGAGCCAGGAUUGGAAGUCAGGCCACCUCCCCAUCCCAGCCAAACACCGGGGGGCUCACAGUUGUA